rnacentral:RNase_P_RNA from 1 species
AGAGUUGGCUGGACAGUCGCUCUGUUGGUUCCUUCUGGCGCUGGCAGGGAGGAAAGUCCGGGCUCCAUAGGGCAGAGUGCCAGGUAACGCCUGGGAGGCGUGAGCCUACGGAAAGUGCAGCAGAAAGCAAACCGCCUAAGCGCGCAAGCGCCGGUAAGGGUGAAAAGGUGCGGUAAGAGCGCACCGCGCAGCUGGUAACAGACUGUGGCGUGGUAAACCCCACUCGGAGCAAGACCAAAUAGGAAUCCAUUGGUGUGGCCCGCACUGGAUUCGGGUAGGUUGCUAGAGGUCACCAGUGAUGGUGAUCCCAGAGGAAUGACUGUUCUCGACAGAACCCGGCUUACAGGCCAACUCUUAUU